AGACGUCUACAUUAGAUACCCGGGUAGUCCCAGCCGUAAACUAUGCGCGUUAGGUGUAUCGGUGACCACGAGUUACCGAGGUGCCGAAGGGAAACCGUGAAACGUGCCGCCUGGGAAGUACGGUCGCAAGGCUGAAACUUAAAGGAACUUGGCGGGGAGCACCACAACAGGUGGAGCCUGCGGUUUAAUUGGACUCAACGCCGGGAAGCUCACCGGAUAGGACAGCAGAAUGAUUGCCGGGCUGAAGACCCUGCAUGACUAGCUG
rnacentral:rRNA from 1 species